AAUUCUCAACCCAACCAAAUAAUCCUUUUGCUUUUCCUCCCUUAACAAAUAGCGCAACAACACCAUUCAACAUAGCAACAGCGUAACAGCAACAAACGACACCAGCAACAGUGUCAACACAGUCCACCACUGCAACCCGAACCCAGAUGCACUUUUACUAUUUUUGCCCCCCGGUUCAGCGUCUAUGGCAAAAAAUUAAAUGGUUUUCAUCUUUCUUAGUCGUUGAUUCACUUUUUCAGAUUGAGGUCCAUAAUUUCAAAAUUCAACACCUUUUUCUCCCCAAUUUUGCCUAUAAAUGGAGGCUAAGGGAUAAGGGUUAAGGGGGAGGAUUUUUGGGGAAAAAGUGAGGAUUCGGUAGUCACGUGCUUCUAAUCCUAUGCAACCAAAAAUUCUCGAAGAAACAUCGAUUUGAAGUCGUCCAUUCGUCGUCCUGUUCGCUGCUCCGGAAAAGGAAACUAGGUUUUGGAUGCUAAGUUCAUGAAAAGGAGAAAAAAAGGUAUUUUUGGCUACUUAUGUGAGCAAUAAUGGGUGUUCAUGACCAAAACAUGUGCGGGAAUAGAAGAAGAGCCGAAGAAAAUAACUUCUGGUACUUGCUAAGUCAACAUGUGGAUCGCAUGUAGUAUAUAUGGACCGCAUGUGGACAAAGCAUGUGAUAGAAGUCCAAAAUCUCGAGAGCAUACCUACAGGAAUUUUUUGUCUGAGCACAUGCGGUCACUACAUGCACCAAGCUUGUAGGCCGAAUGUACUACAUGCACCCAAGGCCAGGCCGCAUGUGGUGACCACAUGUAGCCAUCGACCCUGUUUUCUCUUAUUUCGUUUGAGCUUUGGAUUUAGGGUUUCCUCAUGAAAAAUAAAUACUCCUUAUGUGUUUCUUAGUAGAAGUUACUCACUCUUGAUACUUACAAACAUAUUUUGAUCUCGAGAUUUGAUUUUGAUCUUGGAAUUCUCUUGUAUUGAUUUUGGUUGAUUAAUUCAGUUAUGGUUUUGGGAUUUUA